rnacentral:rRNA from 1 species
GGAUGGCGAGUUUGAUCCUGGCUCAGGACGAACGCUGGCGGCGUGCGUAACACAUGCAAGUCGAACGAGUGCAGCAAUGCACGAGUGGCGGACGGGUGAGGAACACGUGGCUACCAACCACCAUCUGGGGAAUACCCGUGGGAAACCAUGGUUAAUACCGCAUACGCCCGGUAACGGGGAAAGCCGCAAGGCGGAGGGUGACGGGGCUGCGCCCGAUUAGCUAGUUGGUGGGGUAAUGGCCUACCAAGGCGUCGAUCGGUAACUGGUCUGAGAGGAUGACCAGUCACAUUGGGAUUGAGAACGGCCCAAAUCCCUACGGGGAGCAGCAGUGAGGAAUCUUCCACAAUGGGCGCAAGCCUGAUGGAGCGACGCCGCGUGCGGGAUGACACCUUUCGGGGCGUAAACCGCUUUUCUGGGGGACGAGACAGGACGGUACCCCAGGAAGAAGUCUCGGCUAACUACGUGCCAGCAGCCGCGGUAAUACGUAGGAGGCGAGCGUUGUCCGGAGUUACUGGGCGUAAAGCGUGGGUAGGCGGCUCUGUGCGUCUGUGGUGAAAUCUCCCGGCUUACCUGGGAGGGGGUCACGGAUACGGCAGGGCUUGAGGGCAUGAGAGGCAAGUAGAACUCCCGGUGGACCAGUGAAAUGGGUAGAGAUCGGGAAGAAUACCAGUGGUGCAGACGGCUUGCUGGCGUGUACCUGACGCUGAGCCACGAAAGCAUGGGGAGCAAACAGGAUUAGAUACCCUGGUAGUCCAUGCGGUAAACGAUGUCCACUAGGUGUGCGGGGUAUCGACCCCCUGCGUGCCGAAGCUAACGCAUGAAGUGGACCGCCUGGGGAGUACGGCCGCAAGGUUAAAACUCAAAGGAAUUGACGGGGACCCGCACAAGCAGCGGAGCGUGUGGUUUAAUUCGAUGCGACGCGAAGCACCUUACCUGGGUUCAAUGCUAGUUGCACCACCUGUAAUGGGGUGUCCCCGCAAGGGGCGGCUAGCACGGUGCUGCAUGGCUGUCGUCAGCUCGUGCCGUGAGGUGUUGGGUUAAGUCCCCUAACGAGCGCAACCCCCGUGGACGGUUAUACCUCCGUUCAGACUGCCGCGCACAACGCGGAGGAAGGUGGGGAUGACGUCAAGUCAGCACGGCCCUUACGCCCAGGGCGACACACACGCUACAAUGGGCCGGACAAUGGGCAGCAACACGGCGACGUGAAGCGAAUCCCGCAAACCGGUCCUCAGUUCGGAUGGUAGGCUGCAACUCGCCUGCCUGAAGUCGGAGUUGCUAGUAACCGCAGGUCAGCACACUGCGGUGAAUACGUUCCCGGGUCUUGUACACACCGCCCGUCACACCACGAAAGUGGGUCACACCUGAAGCUGGGUAGCGAACUCGCAAGAGACGCGCCUGUCCAGGGUUGGGCCCGUGAUUGGGGUGAAGUCGUAACAAGGUAGCCGUAGCGGAAGCUGUGGCUGGAUCACCUCCUUUCUAGG